AAAAAAAAAAAAGGAAUGCGGGGAUAGGAAAAAAAUCAUAGCAUAUAUAGGGUGUGGUACUAACCACAGUUUCAGGCAUCUACCGAAAGUCUUGGAACGUGGAUCCCCCUGAGGGUAAGGGGGGACUGCUGUAGUCACAAAGUUAAAGAAUCUCAGUGCUGAAGGGGAUCCCGGUAAAGCUUAUUUGGUCCAAUCUUCUAUUUUCUUCAGGGGGAAACUGAGGUUCUGGGAGAGGAUGGAGCCCCAGCAAAGGCUGACAAUGCAGAAUCAGCACUAGAUGCCAAGGAGGGCAUUCCAGGCAAGAAGGUUGUGACAGUGAGUGUGCAUAGGGAGCUUCUAAACACGUUUGGCCUGAGGUGUGGCAUGAAGAGGUCUUACAGCUGUGUGAAGGAACAUUGUGCAAAAGAAAAAGAUGCAAAGGAAACCUCCUAGAAGCCAAGCCUUGGGACAGGGGUCUCUAACUGGAGACAGAAAUUAGGAGACUUGAUCCAGGUUAGAGCCAGAGGGGACGCAUUACCAGGUUCCAUUAGCAAAAGGUAACUGAGGUGGGGGAAGAACAUGGGGGGAAAGGUGGAAGGAGAAGGAACGCAUUAGUAAAAGAGAGACCUUACAAAUGAUGUCAGGGCUAAAAAAGAAAAAAAGAAUAAAAACAUAAAAAAUAAAUAGAAAGGUAGAGACCACAAGCCAACCUCCAAGGAGUUAUCCCAACUGUUCAAAACCAGGAACAGCAAGGGGCCAUAGAGAAGCUGAGAAGUCAUUCCACAGCCCCUAGUCACAGCCACCAGAGCAGCCUGAAGGUCCAUGUGGCCCAGCAGCUUCCAAGCUCCCGGCUCCAGGGUGAGGCGAGUUUAGCCUGCUGCAGCCUCUUGCCCCCUUUCUCCCACCCUUCCAGGCCCUCUAGGGUCUGUUUCCCUGAAGCUUUGUCCUGGGAGAUGGGGGGCAUGGCUUCCACCCUCAUCAGGGCUACAGAGCCUAUUCACACAUUCACACAUCCAGCCCUUCCUUAAAAACCCUCCCUCCCUGCCGAGCCCUCCCCUCAGUCGCCACUUCUUGUCAGGGGACUUCAGCUGUUGAAUCGAGUCUCUGAUGAGGUGCCCGACCCAGAUCUAAUCUCAGGAAAAGAUCAAGACGAUUUUCCUGUUUGGGUUCAGCCCCAAGGGCAUUCUCGGAGAGGAAUCUGCCAGCAUCCUGCCUUGACAACUGUUCACUAUUAAAAUGUCACAAACAUGAAUAAAACAUGUUCAUUUCUAAAAA